CGGAUUCCGGAACGCCGUCAAAUAAAAGUCUCCAUUUACACAUUAUUGUCUAUGUUACAAGAUGGCCGACGAAGCGAUCGAGAAAUUUCCUCGACUUAGAAGACAAAGUUACCAUACGUAUUAAAUCUUUACGGUUCUCGAAAUUGAAGCAUCUUCAUGAGAAUCAAAAUAGAAGUGAGACUGAAGCCGAACAUGAACAUAAUUUUUGGUGAAACUACUCCUUGUCCAGUGUCCGCUGCAGCACCACGUGGUUACACCGGCAUCGAUCUAUGCCUGAUGUUGUUUUCUGUAUAGACAUUUUAAAUACCAUGACCCUACAGAUGUUAAUUGGUAUGACGGAAGAAGUAAAAUUUUUGCAAAACAGAUUUUUGUAUGCUGUGUCCAUGUCAGAUACAUAAGGAAAGUUCAAGCCAGAUCUGCUAUAGCAAACUGAACAUAAAGUGGCAUAUUUGUGUGUCAGGAAACAAGGAACAUGUAAUGCUGGACUGAUCGAGAAUCGAAACGGGGAUCCCUGCAUCACCACUUACAUAAAAAGAACUACAUGUACCAGAAGGAGACAGUAAAGAGGAACGGACAUAUCACACCAUAAGACGUGCUUCAAAAUCUGAAUAUACAGAAUGAAUUUUGCUUACUGCAGAUCCUUCUGAAAGAACACGUUUGUUGUAUUGACAUAAAAACAACUGAAUUGUCAGGAUCCUUGAACAUGACGCAUUUGGCUGCAUAUGAUGGCAAUUAAAAAUGCAUACGAGUUUACAUUGAUCUUUGUUAGCUAAUAAGACAAAAAGCAAAAUAGCAAGUUUACCUAUUACCGUACAUGUACUGAAUGUAUUCACUUUAUUUUUUUUUGAACUACAUCAUCAGUUUAAAAAAUGUACAGUAGCACAUGUAUACAGUUUAUGGUGGGAUUCCUCUAACUUUCAUGAAUCUGUUUGCAAAAUCUGUACUUUAAAGUUUCAAAUUAUUACCUCUAAUACAAUGUCUGUGUUUUUUUUUUAUAAUUACAUGAUUUUUGUAUGUAUGUAAUGAUAACCAAAUCACCCAAUUUUCCCGCAUUUUUUACCAUGUAUUUAGCUUUUUUUUUUUUUAACAUGCUUAAGUGUAUUUAUAUCUGACAACUGAUGACCAGGCAGUCUUCAUUUAACAGUGUAAUUCAUAACACAUUUUAGCUGAAUAUUUUUAAAACAAGGAUAUCAUGUUGUGGAUUGAUUCUGUGUUCAAAAUUUCAUUAUCACUGGGUUUUCUUAUUUAUGUUGUACAUGUGUACAUGUAUUUGGAAUAAAAAAGGAAUUGUUGAAAGAAAAGUGAAAUUAAUCAUGCUAUUUUUGUCAAAGGAAGAUAAAAAAAACCAGUUUACUUAUGCACAGAAUUAGUCAAAACAUAUUUUUAUUGAUAAUUCAUCCCAGAAUCAUAUGUAUAAUAAAUCUACAAAGUCAAUUUGAAUGGUAUCAAGGAAAGAUCUUAUCUUUUUUAAUAUUAGUGCAAAAAGGUCAAGGAGGGCAACGUAAGUACAGGUGUACUUGUAUAAAUUGUUUUCUGUGAUAUAGAAUGUAAUUUAGAAGAAUAAUACUUGGAAUUUAACUCAUUUUCUUUGAAAUACUUUGAUUAAAUAUUCUAUCUAUU